AAUAAACUUUUUAAAUAACACACAUAUACCGACACUGACAUCGGGGUGUCUGCUAAGUCUUAAUGGCUUAAAUGCGGAUCGAUGGAAGGGGUAUAUGGAGGCCUAAC
rnacentral:sRNA from 1 species